GCGAAGGCGCAUGAUAUCAAACCGCGAGUCAGCUCGACGGUCCCGCUGGAGAAAGAAGCAGCAUUUAGAGAACCUUGAGGUUGAAGUGAACCGGUUAAAAAUACAGAACCAGGAGCUGAAGAAGCUGUUGGGUUCAGUUUUAGGGCAGUGUCACGUGUUAUGGAGAGAGAAUGACCAGUUGACAACUGAAUAUUUAGGUCUCCAAGCCAGA
rnacentral:misc_RNA from 1 species